rnacentral:rRNA from 2 species
AGAGUUUGAUCAUGGCUCAGAACGAACGCUGGCGGCAGGCUUAACACAUGCAAGUCGAACGCUCACUUUCGGGUGGGAGUGGCAGACGGGUGAGUAACGCGUGGGAACGUACCCUUCAGUUCGGAAUAACCCAGGGAAACUUGGGCUAAUACCGGAUACGUCCAUAAGGAGAAAGAUUUAUCGCUGAAGGAUCGGCCCGCGUCGGAUUAGCUAGUUGGUGAGGUAACGGCUCACCAAGGCAACGAUCCGUAGCUGGUCUGAGAGGAUGAUCAGCCACACUGGGACUGAGACACGGCCCAGACUCCUACGGGAGGCAGCAGUGGGGAAUAUUGGUCAAUGGGCGCAAGCCUGAACCAGCCAUGCCGCGUGAGUGAAGAAGGCCUUAGGGUUGUAAAGCUCUUUCAGCGGGGACGAUAAUGACGGUACCCGCAGAAGAAGCCCCGGCUAACUUCGUGCCAGCAGCCGCGGUAAUACGAAGGGGGCUAGCGUUGUUCGGAAUUACUGGGCGUAAAGCGCGCGUAGGCGGGCAUUUAAGUCAGGGGUGAAAUCCCAGGGCUCAACCCUGGAACUGCCUUUGAUACUGGAUGCCUGGAGUUCGGGAGAGGUGAGUGGAAUUCCGAGUGUAGAGGUGAAAUUCGUAGAUAUUCGGAGGAACACCAGAAGCGAAGGCGGCUCACUGGCCCGAUACUGACGCUGAGGCCGCGAAAGCGUGGGGAGCAAACAGGAUUAGAUACCCCAGUAGUCC